rnacentral:rRNA from 1 species
GACAUAGGUCGCGAACGUUAUCCGGAAUUAUUGGGCGUAAAGGAUGCGUAGAUGGUUCGGUAAGUUACUGGUGGGAAAUCGAGGCCCAACCUCGUGGAAGUUAGUAAUACUGUCGAGCUUGAGUGCAGGAGAGGUUAACGGAACUUCAUGUGGAGCGGUAAAAUGCGUAGAUAUAUGAAAGAACAUCAAUAUAGCGAAGGCAGUUAACUAUUCUGCUACUGACGCUGAGGCACGAAAGCGUGGGGAGCAAACAGG